GGCAGUGUGGCUCAGCGGUAGAGCACUUGCCUUGCAAAUUCGAGGCCCUGGGUUCGAUCCUCAGCACCA
rnacentral:tRNA from 1 species